rnacentral:pre_miRNA from 1 species
UACUUCAUGGAGGUUUCCUUGUGCUUCUGGCUAUAAGGACCCUUCUUGAUAAGC